rnacentral:rRNA from 1 species
AUUGAACGCUGGCGGCAGGCCUAACACAUGCAAGUCGAAUGGUAACAGGAAACAGCUUGCUGUUUCGCUGACGAGUGGCGGACGGGUGAGUAAUGUCUGGGAAACUGCCUGAUGGAGGGGGAUAACUACUGGAAACGGUAGCUAAUACCGCAUAACGUCGCAAGACCAAAGAGGGGGACCUUCGGGCCUCUUGCCAUCAGAUGUGCCCAGAUGGGAUUAGCUAGUAGGUGGGGUAACGGCUCACCUAGGCGACGAUCCCUAGCUGGUCUGAGAGGAUGACCAGCCACCCUGGAACUUAGACACGGUCCAGACUCCUACGGGAGGCAGCAGUGGGGAAUAUUGCACAAUGGGCGCAAGCCUGAUGCAGCCAUGCCGCGUGUAUGAAGAAGGCCUUCGGGUUGUAAAGUACUUUCAGCGGGGAGGAAGGGAGUAAAGUUAAUACCUUUGCUCAUUGACGUUACCCGCAGAAGAAGCACCGGCUAACUCCGUG